rnacentral:lncRNA from 1 species
AUCAAGAGUCAGGCAGGGGCAGCAGCCCACGUUCAGCUGGAAUUCUGUGGCUUAACCCAGGGGUUUUCUAUGUGUCAUGAGAGAUAACACAACACUCUCACCAACGAAGUUGAAUAAAUUAUAUUUAGGACUCACAAGCUGAUCAUGAUUCUUGGCUAUGCAAACCUGAGGCUGAUGCAUCCUCCAGCAGCUGACCACGGACAUGUGCAGCAUCACAGUGACAGAUGGCAUUUCAACCACUUGGUUUACACCUUCCUCCACUGUCACCACCAUUCUGACAGAAAUGAGUUCCAUUUGCUCCAUUUUACAUAAGGGCAAAAGGCAGCAUUGACUCACCAAGUUUACACAGUUAGGGAAAAGAGCAACCAGGUCAGGAUCAGAUACAACAAAGAAGUGAUUGCAGAUGUUAAAUGGAACAUAGCUCUGGUCGUUUGAUAAAUAUUCAGUAAUUUCUUCAGUUUGUUAAGAAAAAUUAUCCAAAAUUUACAAUUACAGAGGAAGCAAAAUUUUACCUGUACCCUAUUUUUUUUUUUCUGGGGCUAAGAAUUAAAUUGACUUAAGACAGACAUAAGACAGAUCAACAGCAGAAGAACAAAUUUACUUAAUACAAGUUUUACAUGGCAGGAGAGACUACAUAAGGAAA